CACUAUGCUUAGCCCUAAACAUAGAUAGCACUUACACCUCCGCUAUCCGCCUGGGAACUACGAGCACCAGCUUAAAACCCAAAGGACUUGGCGGUGCUUUAGAUCCACCUAGAGGAGCCUGUUCUAGAACCGAUACCCCCCGUUCAACCUCACCCCUCCUUGUUUUACCCGCCUAUAUACCGCCGUCGUCAGCUUACCCUGUGAAGGGCUUAUAGUAAGCAAAAUUGGUACAACCCUAAACGUCAGGUCGAGGUGUAGCGUAUGGAGGGGGAAGAAAUGGGCUACAUUUUCUACCCUAGAAAAAUACGAAAGAUGUACUGAAAUGUAUACCUGAAGGAGGAUUUAACAGUAAGCAAAAAAUAGAGCGUUUUGCUGAAAUUGGCCCUGAAGCGCGCACACACCGCCCGUCACUCUCCCCAAGCCUAUAACAUAACCAAUAACCUUAAAUCACAACAAACGCAAAGGGGAGGCAAGUCGUAA
rnacentral:rRNA from 1 species